UUGCUACUCACAGUCACAAGUGUGUAAGUAUUACUGUUACAUUUAUUUAUAUUUACUAAAAGUAAAUAUAUGCUCACAUAUCAGUAAGUAUUGUACAGCCCUAAAUUAUAUUUAAUACACCCAUCUAGGCAGUUAAUUCAUAUAUGUGCUGGCUUUAAUUUACAUUCAUGUUAUUAUCACCCUGCAAUAGGCGGAGGGAUAUUGUUUUGGCCUUGUCCGCCUGUCUUUCCGUCCAUCCGGCACUUUUGUGUUGGGAGCCAUACCUUGGAAGUGCUUUGGUGGAUUUCAUCGAAACUUGGUAUGAGUAUAUGUAUAGAUAAGAGGAUGAUGCAUGCCAAAUGGCAUUGUACACUAUCUGUUAAUAACAGAGUUAUGGCCCUUCGAACCUAAAAAAAUGCUUUUUUACCUGAGUGUCAAAUAUAACACUUUUGUGUCCAGAAGCUAAUUAGCGGGGGAUAUCAAUUCAAUGAAUUUGCUUGUUAUUAAUUGAAGGGAAAUAGACCUGUUAUUUUGUCUCUCAUUAUGGUGUUUAAAGUCACAUUUAAUGGCAUCCAACCUACUUUAUUUCAAAUACAGUAACACCUGGCGCCGUGACCUGGAUGCAGAUUCUAAGCAGAUGGGCCAAAAUGGGGGCAGCUAGAGAGACUCGCCUGGAACUGACAAGCCUGGAGGGAGCUGGUUGACUGUUGGCGAGAUGGGACAACAGACGAAGAAUAAACGAACCUACUUGAUUUGAUUAACAUUUUUUUUCGUCGGAAGACAUUUCCCACCAACCAUCCUGUCUUGAAAGAAAUAACUUUUGAACCCGAUUAUCUGAUAUUUUCCAGUUUCCCCUCACAACAAUUUGC